rnacentral:rRNA from 1 species
GGAUGGAUACACUUAGUGGCGGACGGGUGAGUAACGCGUGGGUACCUGCCUCACACUGGGGGAUAACAGUUAGAAAUAGCUGCUAAUACCGCAUAAGUCCGCAUGGAAAAAACUCCGGUGGUGUGAGAUGGACCCGCGUCUGAUUAGCCAGUUGGCGGGGUAACGGCCCACCAAAGCGACGAUCAGUAGCCGGCCUGAGAGGGUGAACGGCCACAUUGGGACUGAGACACGGCCCAAACUCCUACGGGAGGCAGCAGUGGGGAAUAUUGCACAAUGGGGGAAACCCUGAUGCAGCGACGCCGCGUGAGUGAAGAAGUAUUUCGGUAUGUAAAGCUCUAUCAGCAGGGAAGAAGUGACGGUACCUGAAUAAGAAGCCCCGGCUAACUACGUGCCAGCAGCCGCGGUAAUACGUAGGGGGCAAGCGUUAUCCGGAUUUACUGGGUGUAAAGGGAGCGUAGACGGCAAGGCAAGUCUGAAGUGAAAGCCCGGUGCUUAACGCCGGGACUGCUUUGGAAACUGUUUAGCUGGAGUGCCGGAGAGGUAAGCGGAAUUCCUAGUGUAGCGGUGAAAUGCGUAGAUAUUAGGAAGAACACCAGUGGCGAAGGCGGCUUACUGGACG